UACGGAGGGGGCUAGCGUUGUUCGGAAUUACUGGGCGUAAAGCGCACGUAGGCGGAUUGUUAAGUCAGAGGUGAAAUCCCGGAGCUCAACUUCGGAACUGCCUUUGAUACUGGCAAUCUAGAGUCCGGAAGAGGUUAGUGGAAUUCCCAGUGUAGAGGUGAAAUUCGUAGAUAUGGGAAGAACACCAGUGGCGAAGGCGGCUAACUGGUCCGGAUCUGACGCUGAGGCGACGAAAGCGUGGGGAGCAAACAGG
rnacentral:rRNA from 1 species